rnacentral:rRNA from 1 species
CCCUUAGAUGUUCUGGGCCGCACGCGUGCUACACUGAACGGUUCAAUGGGUAAGGUAGUGCGAAAGCAUGACCUAAUCUCGAAAUCCGUUCGUGCUGGGGAUAGAAGCUUGCAAUUAUCCUUCUUGAACGAGGAAUACCUUGUAAGCGUGAGUCAUCAUCUCACGCUGAAUACGUCCCUGCCCUUUGUAUACACCGCCCGUCGCUCCUACCGAUUGAGUGUUCCGGUGAGGCUUUGGGAGAAUGGCCUCAACAUGAGUUUAUCGUGUUUUGCCGUUUGAACUUAGUCAAACCUUAUCACUUAGAGGAAGGAGAAGUCGUAACA